rnacentral:tRNA from 1 species
GCCUGGCUGGCUUAGUUGGUAGAGCAUGUGACUCUUGAUCUCAGGGUCAUGAGUUUGAGCCCCAUGUUGGGCA